UUACAGCUAUCAUUUUCGCUAAAGCGAAUGUUAAUUAUUUCACACCUGUCUCUCGAACAAGAGCGUGCAUUAUUGCCAUUGUUUGUAUUUUGAUAAUGUAUAUUUGCUCGUCUCUUUCUCUUUCUUGAACUUCUAUUUUUUUCAAGGUUUGUUUCUUUAUUUGUCUCAUCAAUAUCCAUAACUUCGUCACUGUCGUUUUCCAGUUGCUGUUCAUCGUGUGUACUUGGUCUAAUAAUAAAUAUUUAAAAAUGUUCUGUUUAUAAUUUAUUUUAUUUAUUUAUUAUAUAUUAUAUUUUUAUUUUCUACUAAGAGAAGUUUUGCACU